rnacentral:rRNA from 1 species
GACAGAGGGUGCAAACGUUGUUCGGAAUUACUGGGCGUAAAGCGCGUGUAGGCGGCUCGAUAAGUCGUGUGUGAAAGCCCUAGGCUCAACUUAGGAAGUGCGCACGAAACUGCCGAGCUUGAGUGCUGGAGAGGAAGGUGGAAUUCUCGGUGUAGAGGUGAAAUUCGUAGAUAUCGAGAGGAACACCGGUGGCGAAGGCGGCCUUCUGGACAGACACUGACGCUGAGACGCGAAAGCGUGGGGAGCAAACAGG